ACGCAACCACCAACCAAACCUCAUAAUCUCCUCUACUCUCACCCAUAUCUCCCCACCUCCUCUUAAGGACUCAGCUCGUCUGUCUUUUUGGGGGAAGGCCUGAAAAGAAUGCUGAAAACAAGUGACCUGGCUGGAAUCUACCACCACGCUACUUCUCUGCUCCAGGACCUUCCAUGGCUCCCACUGGCUCACAGGCAAAAGAAGAGAUGAAGCACACAUUGCAAACACGCUUUGAUCCCUGCAGUGAGAUGAGCGUCAUGAUCAUGCAUGCUUCUCUUCUCCCUUCUCCGGGCCUUUUGAAGUCUACACUCUCCGCUGUGGGAUGGUCUCCUGCCCUACCAGGAGAGCUGGUCUCCACACCGACUUCAAAGACAGCUGAUGUUCCAGAGAAGAAAAACACUGCAAAGAAGCACUCCAAAAUCCUUUUGACCUCAAACAUGACUACAGAAUGGAUACAGCUUUUUAAAUAGCCACUUCCUGCAGCAUUCUAUAGUAUAAUGACCCUUAAAUGACACCCACGCAAAUUACAUAAUUUGCUAAAAUGGAAACCCAGUA
rnacentral:lncRNA from 1 species